AAGACUAUAGACCUGCGGAGUACCUGCGGAGGGAUCAUUACUGAAGUUACCUUCUAAAACCAUCAUGUGAACCUUACCCCUGCCGCGCUGUUGCCUCGGCGGGACGCCGGAGCCCCGGCUCCGGCGCCGCCGGCAGCGCCAAACUCUACCUUGAAACAGCGGAAACGCACUCUGAUUUAGAAGCGAAAACAAGUCAAAACUUUCAACAACGGAUCUCU
rnacentral:misc_RNA from 1 species